rnacentral:rRNA from 1 species
GACGAACGCUGGCGGCGUGCUUAACACAUGCAAGUCGAACGGAAAGGCCCUGCUUUUGUGGGGUGCUCGAGUGGCGAACGGGUGAGUAACACGUGAGUAACCUGCCCUUGACUUUGGGAUAACUUCAGGAAACUGGGGCUAAUACCGGAUAGGAGCUCCUGCUGCAUGGUGGGGGUUGGAAAGUUUCGGCGGUUGGGGAUGGACUCGCGGCUUAUCAGCUUGUUGGUGGGGUAGUGGCUUACCAAGGCUUUGACGGGUAGCCGGCCUGAGAGGGUGACCGGCCACAUUGGGACUGAGAUACGGCCCAGACCCCUACGGGAGGCAGCAGUGGGGAAUAUUGCACAAUGGGCGGAAGCCUGAUGCAGCAACGCCGCGUGCGGGAUGACGGCCUUCGGGUUGUAAACCGCUUUCGCCUGUGACGAAGCGUGAGUGACGGUAAUGGGUAAAGAGGCACCGGCUAACUACGUG